rnacentral:rRNA from 1 species
UACGUAGGGUGCGAGCGUUAAUCGGAAUUACUGGGCGUAAAGCGUGCGCAGGCGGCUUUGCAAGACAGAUGUGAAAGCCCCGGGCUCAACCUGGGAAGUGCACUCGAUACUGGCGAGCUAGAGUAUCGGAGAGGUUGGUGGAAUUCUCGGUGGAGAGGUGAAAUGCGUAGAGAUUGGAAAGAACACCAAUGGCGAAAGCACUUUACUGGGCUAUCACUGACACUGAGAGACGAAAGCUAGGGUAGCAAAUGGG